ACAACCAACUCUUCAAGCAGGGGGCUGGAUUUACGAAGGUUGGAGACGUAUGCCACUACCUUCCCCCAAACGUCUACGGACAAUUUCUCAUGGACACCUUUCAUCGCCCGACUAACCUUUCCGGAAUCCGUGAUCAGGGUGACGACUGCAUUUGCAAUUAUCCAUAUAGAACUUCACAGCGUCUUCAUCGGGCAUAGAGGC
rnacentral:antisense_RNA from 1 species